rnacentral:misc_RNA from 1 species
GCUUCUCACAUAAACUUUGGCUACAGAUUUGUUAGUAACAACAAUCCUAUCAACAAGACCAGCUUCAAGUAGCUUGUUUUUGAACUCUUGGAAGCUAAUCUCCUGCUGCUCUCGAGGAGACAUGAGGAUAGAUGACAGAAUAAACCCAAUAAAUAAUAAGGGUGCUAGUAAAUUGUAGUUUAGCUUAAUGAAGUUCUCCUGGGGAUUUCCUUGCUCACCUGAACCUUCCUCUUUGCCUGACUCAGCCUUUUGAUUAUUAUUUGCUUUGGGAAUUUCUUUCUUGUUAUUUGGAUAAUAGUUCUCAUAGUUUCUUCUCUUUGGCCCUUCGCUACAGAAAAACCUCCUAAGCCUAGGGCUUGCCAAAACCGAAUCAAGCUCCUUACUCAAACCUCUCCUUCCACCUCCAAUCAACGUCAAAUACGUUCUCACAAACCCUAACCCACCAUCAACGCGUGUAAUGCACGCGCCACCGGUUGCCACUUCAUCCAACACCGUCGACCUCACUCCAUAUCCAACACCUUUGUGAAUGCUGGAACGAGAAGCCUUAGAUAUGGAGCGGCUAAUACGUGAAAGCAUCAUUUUUUUGGUGAUUUCCUUAACAUGAAUUUCCUUUUCAAAUCCUUAGAAAUCGAUUCUGAAAAACGGAUCCUUUAAGGCAAAUCGAUAGAUAAUAUCGACGAGAAAUUAGCAAAAAUAACAGUUUA